CCUACGGGUGGCAGCAGUAGGGAAUCUUCCACAAUGGGCGAAAGCCUGAUGGAGCAACGCCGCGUGUGUGAAGAAGGUCUUCGGAUCGUAAAACCCUGUUGUUAGAGAAGAAAGUGCGUGAGAGUAUCUGUUCACGUUUCGACGGUAUCUAACCAGAAAGCCACGGCUAACUACGUGCCAGCAGCCGCGGUAAUACGGAGGUGGCAAGCGUUAUCCGGAUUUAUUGGGCGUAAAGGGAACGCAGGCGGUCUUUUAAGUCUGAUGUGAAAGCCUCGGGCUUAACCGGGGAAGUGCAUCGGAUACUGGGAGGCUUGAGUGCAGAAGAGGAGAGUAGAACUCCAUGUGUAGCGGUGAAAUGCGUAGAGAUCUGGAAGAACACCAGUGGCGAAGGCGGCUCUCUGGACUGUAACUGACGCUGAGGUUCGAAAGCGUGGGUAGCAAACAGGAUUAGAUACCCGAGUAGUC
rnacentral:rRNA from 1 species